GAGGUUGUGGCUCAGUGGUAAGAGCACUUGCCUAGCACGUGUGAGGCACUGGGUUCAAUCCUCAGCACCACA
rnacentral:tRNA from 1 species